rnacentral:lncRNA from 1 species
GUGUAAGUAAUCUCUCCCAUCUCUAAAAAUCUCAUUUUCUUUUUCUCAUUGCUAUUUUCAUGUGGGCAGUGGGUGCAACAGCAAGGUUGAAUUAUUUUUCUGACGAAAUUGUCACUUCGAUGUCAACCAAUUUUAGUUUGUCCCGUAGAGAUAAAAGGUUAAAUUGAAAGGACAAAGUUUAGAAUUUGGCAGUAUCUGUUGGCAGGAGAUAGAUAGAGAAAGAGAAAGCACUUUUCCCUUCUUCUCUUUUUUUUUUUGGAAGCAUUAAAAAGUCAAAAUAUAGGACACAUGCUAGCUUUCUUGAUUGGAAGCAUUAAAAAGUCAAAAUAUAGGACACCUUCUUCUCUUUUUUUUUUUGGAAGCAUUAAAAAGUCAAAAUAUAGGACACAUGCUAGCUUUCUUGAUUGUUCUGACCUCAUCGUUUUUGUAGAUAAAAGUGUUUCUUAUUAUUUUUUUUCCCUGAACAGGGUUUGACUCUCGGAUGCUGUAAAGAUUUCACCACUGACAUGUAAAAUGGUUAAAAUGGCAAAUCAUGUAAUUUCGAUGAAUACGAGGGUUAACGAAACGUCAUGUUGUUUUGCAGGCC